rnacentral:rRNA from 1 species
AGUGAACGCUGGCGGUAGGCCUAACGCAUGCAAGUCGAACGGCAGCACAGUAAGAGCUUGCUCUUACGGGUGGCGAGUGGCGGACGGGUGAGGAAUACAUCGGAAUCUACUUUUUCGUGGGGGAUAACGUAGGGAAACUUACGCUAAUACCGCAUACGACCUACGGGUGAAAGCAGGGGAUCUUCGGACCUUGCGCGAUUGAAUGAGCCGAUGUCGGAUUAGCUAGUUGGCGGGGUAAAGGCCCACCAAGGCGACGAUCCGUAGCUGGUCUGAGAGGAUGAUCAGCCACAAUGGAACUGAGACAAGGUCCAGACUCCUACGGGAGGCAGCAGUGGGGAAUAUUGGACAAUGGGCGCAAGCCUGAUCCAGCCAUACCGCGUGGGUGAAGAAGGCCUUCGGGUUGUAAAGCCCUUUUGUUGGGAAAGAAAAGCAGCAGGUUAAUACCCCGCUGUUCUGACGGUACCCAAAGAAUAAGCACAGGCUAACUUCGUG